rnacentral:rRNA from 1 species
AUACGUAGGGGGCGAGCGUUGUCCGGAAUGAUUGGGCGUAAAGGGCGCGUAGGCGGCCCGGUAAGUCUGGAGUGAAAGUCCUGUUUUUAAGAUGGGAAUUUCUUUGGAUACUGUCGGUCUUGAGUGCAGGAGAGGUAAGUGGAAUUCCCAGUGUAGCGGUGAAAUGCGUAGAGAUUGGGAGGAACACCAGUAGCGAAGGCGACUGACUGGACUGUAACUGACGCUGAGGCGCGAAAGUGUGGGGAGCAAACAGGAUUAGAUACCCUGGUAGUCCACACUGUAAACGAUGAAUGCUAGGUGUAGGGGGUAUCGACCCCUUCUGUGCCGCAGUCAACACAAUAAGCAUUCCGCCUGGGGAGUACGGCCGCAAGGUUGAAACUCAAAGGAAUUGACGGGG